rnacentral:rRNA from 1 species
UGGGGAAUAUUGCACAAUGGGCGCAAGCCUGAUGCAGCCAUGCCGCGUGUAUGAAGAAGGCCUUCGGGUUGUAAAGUACUUUCAGUCGGGAGGAAGGUGGUAAGGUUAAUAACCUUGGCAAUUGACGUUACCGACAGAAGAAGCACCGGCUAACUCCGUGCCAGCAGCCGCGGUAAUACGGAGGGUGCAAGCGUUAAUCGGAAUUACUGGGCGUAAAGCGCACGCAGGCGGUUGAUUGAGUCAGAUGUGAAAUCCCCGGGCUUAACCCGGGAAUUGCAUCUGAUACUGGUCAGCUAGAGUCUUGUAGAGGGGGGUAGAAUUCCAUGUGUAGCGGUGAAAUGCGUAGAGAUGUGGAGGAAUACCGGUGGCGAAGGCGGCCCCCUGGACAAAGACUGACGCUCAGGUGCGAAAACGUGGGGAGCAAACAGG